rnacentral:rRNA from 1 species
CCUACGGGAGGCAGCAGUGGGGGAUAUUGCACAAUGGGGGGAACCCUGAUGCAGCGACGCCGCGUGGGUGAAGAAGCGCCUCGGCGCGUAAAGCCCUGUCAGCAGGGAAGAAAAUGACGGUACCUGAAGAAGAAGCCCCGGCUAACUACGUGCCAGCAGCCGCGGUAAUACGUAGGGGGCAAGCGUUAUCCGGAUUUACUGGGUGUAAAGGGGGCGCAGACGGCGAUGCAAGCCAGGAGUGAAAGCCCGGGGCCCAACCCCGGGACUGCUCUUGGAACUGCGUGGCUGGAGUGCAGGAGGGGCAGGCGGAAUUCCUGGUGUAGCGGUGAAAUGCUUAGAGAUCAUACAGAACACCGAUUGCGAAGGCAGCUUACCAAACUAUAUCUGACGUUGAGGCACGAAAGCGUGGGUAGCAAACAGGAUUAGAUACCCUAGUAGUC